CGAAUAAGCCGCUAUGGUGAAAUCGGUAGAUAUGUUGCUCUUAAAAACCAAUGCUAGAGCAGUUUGGUUUGAGUCUGAGUAGCGGCAUGAC
rnacentral:tRNA from 1 species